UUACCCCUCUCUCUCUGUCCCUGAGCUAUGUUGUAGGUGUGUUUUUAGCCCUGCCUCCUGGAUAGACCUUGGACAUGUUCUCAUCUCCUGCCAUGCUUUCUGUCCAGACCUGGAACCUCUUCUGUAGGGAGUCUGUCCCUAGCCCUCCUGGUUGGCCUUUGGAUCUGCACUCAAAGACUGUGAAAGACUAGUGGUGACAGAGCAGAGUCCCAGCUCACCCAUUGCCAAACCUGGUCUCAGUCCAGAACCGCACUCCAAGUUCCUGGAUGAUGGAUGAGAUACCGAAUGAGGACAGAAACCCUUCUGACUCUUGCUGAGGGAAAGGUGAAAGAGGCUUGGAUGUGUUAUCCAGAAGCAUCUGGGGUGCCAGAAGGUGGCUGCUGCAGAUCCCCCCUGGGGAUAAGAGACCUCCAUCUGCCCCACCUCCAGCCUGCUCACGGUCCUCUCUGAAGAUGUCUCCUUGGUGGAAAUGGAGCACAUCAGCUGGGUUUGUGCCCAGAUGGACACGGAUCUGUAAAAACAACAUUUACCACUGUGGUGAGCACCAGACUUUGUGGCUUUUUAAUGUUAGUGUGCUUGUCCCCCCUCUGUAGCCCUGGCCUCUCCCAGAUGAAGAGCCUGAGCGAGAGGCAGCACAGGGAAAUCACACACUGGCGUUUCCCCAGCUUUAUCAGCUGUGGGGCUUAAAACAAAUAAAUCAUUUUCCGAGGCUAUAAAUCC